GCCUGGGUGGCUCAGUCGGUUGAGCAUCUGACUUUGGCUCAGGUCUUGAUCUCGUUGUUCGUGGGUUCAAGCCCCAUGUCGAGCU
rfam:Felis catus isolate Cinnamon breed Abyssinian chromosome A1, whole genome shotgun sequence.